UUUUGUUUUUCAAUUUUGCCCCAAAACGAAAAAACGGAAAUUCAGCUCGUUUUUUCGUUUUUCUGUUCUUAUUGUUAAAACAAGUAUACCACUCAAUGUUUCGUUUCCAUAAGUGGGUGUGUCUCCAGCGCCUCCUUGCUUCUGAUUGGCUAGUGUGCCCUAUGCUUGCGCUGUACUCUUCAAAAAUAAAGGUUCUACGUCUUUGCCUUUAGACUGCGUUACAAAAUACUGGACCAACAUAUGGAAGAAAAAUGAUGACUGGUUACCUGGCCUCAAAAGGAAUCCGAGCAUCAGAGGGGCGUGUUGGUCGUGUCCUCAGAGAAACUAACCAGCCAUAUCAUGCAGAUCGGUAUCGUAGAUAAAGGAAUUUAAAUCCAGUGCCAUACAGUGCAGAGUACAUGGGUCACAAAUUGCACAUUGACCAAAACGAGAAACUGGUGAUGUAUGGGGUGACCCACGUCCUUGCCGUGGACGGAUUCUCCAGCAACAUUAAUCAUAUUAUAGAAAGGAUGUGGCCAGAGGUAAACAACAGGGUAAACUACCCUCUGAAAGGCGCACUCAACCACCUUGUUGACCAGGAGGAACUAAACCUCGAAGACAACAUCACACGAUAUUGUGUGUCCACUCUUACCUGUCAGGUAGCCAAAAUUGGACUUGCCCGGAUGGUGCAGUCCUGGAAUGCACACAGAAUCCAAGGUUUGUAUAGCAGUUUUCAGAAUGUUACUUAAGCCCCAUAACAAAUGACCUUCUUUAUGUAUUUUUAUAAGUUGUACUUAUAUCCUACAUUUGUUUGUCUCUGUAUCCCCUUCUUUACACUAGGUUGAUGGAAAUGUUUAA